rnacentral:rRNA from 1 species
UACGAAGGGGGCAAGCGUUGUUCGGAAUCAUUGGGCGUAAAGGGCGCGUAGGCGGGUCUGUAAGUCGAUUGUGAAAUCCCUGGGCUUAACCCGGGAAUUGCAGUCGAAACUGCAGAUCUUGAAUGCUCGAGAGGAUGGUGGAAUUCCUGGAGUAGUAGUGAAAUACGUAGAUAUCAGGAGGAACACCGGAGGCGAAGGCGGCCAUCUGGCGAGACAUUGACGCUGAUGCGCGAAAGCACGGGGAGCAAACAGG